rnacentral:rRNA from 1 species
UACGGAGGGUGCGAGCGUUAUCCGGAAUUACUGGGGUUAAAGGGUGCGUAGGCGGCUAUGUAAGUCAGGAGUGAAAGUUUGCGGCUCAACCGUAAAAUUGCUUUUGAUACUGCAUGGCUAGAAUUAGGAUGAGGUCAGCGGAAUGUGGCAUGUAGCGGUGAAAUGCAUAGAUAUGCCAUAGAACACCAAUUGCGAAGGCAGCUGGCUAGACCUGGAUUGACGCUGAGGCACGAAAGCGUGGGGAGCGAACAGG